CCCUUGGAACCGGGAUAACUGGCCGAAAGGCCCGCUAAUACCGGAUAAGACCACAAAGGCCUUGGCCUAAGUGGCCAAAGUCGGCCUCUCGAAGAAGCCGGCGCCCAAGGAUGGGCCCGCGGACCAUUAGCUAGUUGGUGAGGUAACGGCUCACCAAGGCCGAGAUGGUUAGCUGGUCUGAGAGGAUGAUCAGCCACACUGGAACUGAGAUACGGUCCAGACUCCUACGGGAGGCAGCAGUGAGGAAUAUUGCGCAAUGGAGGCAACUCUGACGCAGCAACGCCGCGUGGGUGAAGAAGGCUUUCGGGUUGUAAAGCCCUGUCAGGUGGGAAGAAACCUCUUUGAGUGAAUAGCUCAGAGAACUGACGGUACCACCAAAGGAAGCACCGGCUAACUCCGUGCCAGCAGCCGCGGUAAGACGGAGGGUGCAAGCGUUGUUCGGAAUCACUGGGCGUAAAGCGCGUGUAGGCGGUCCGAUUAGUCGAGUGUGAAAGCCCGAGGCUCAACCUCGGAAGCGCAUUCGAAACUGUCGGGCUUGAGUACGGGAGAGGGAAGUGGAAUUCCUGGUGUAGAGGUGAAAUUCGUAGAUAUCAGGAGGAACACCGGUGGCGAAGGCGGCUUCCUGGACCGAUACUGACGCUGAGACGCGAAAGCGUGGGGAGCAAACAGGAUUAGAUACCCUGGUAGUCCACGCCGUAAACCUGUGAGCGCUAGGUGUAGCGGGUAUUGACCCCUGCUGUGCCGCAGCUAAACGCAUUAAGCGCUCCGCCUGGGGAGUACGGCCGCAAGGUUUAAACUCAAAGGAAUUGACGG
rnacentral:rRNA from 1 species